GACGAACGCUGGCGGCGUGCUUAACACAUGCAAGUCGAACGCGCCUGUCCUCUGGGUUUCUGGGGGGUGGGUGAGUGGCGAACGGGUGAGUAACACGUGAGUAACCUGCCCCCUUCUUCGGGAUAACGGUCUGAAAGGGCUACUAAUACCGGGUAUUCACUGGUCUCCGCAUGGGGUCUGGUGGAAAGGUUUUUUUCUGGUGGGGGAUGGGCUCGCGGCCUAUCAGCUUGUUGGUGGGGUGAUGGCCCACCAAGGCUUUGACGGGUAGCCGGCCUGAGAGGGUGACCGGUCACAUUGGGACUGAGAUACGGCCCAGACUCCUACGGGAGGCAGCAGUGGGGAAUAUUGCACAAUGGGCGCAAGCCUGAUGCAGCGACGCCGCGUGAGGGAUGGAGGCCUUCGGGUUGUGAACCUCUUUCGCCCGUGGUCAAGCCGCGACGUGGGUCGUGGUGAGGGUAGUGGGUAAAGAAGCGCCGGCUAACUACGUG
rnacentral:rRNA from 1 species